CACUGAACACAAGGUUCUGGCAUGUGUUUCAGCGACAGCUGUGCUAAAGCCUAUGAAACGGAGGGACAUGGUGUGCCCACCUGGAAAGCUGGACGCUCUUCCAAAGAAUUCCAGCAAUGCUACUGGAGAUGCAUUUCUUCUUCAGUUCUGCCUUCACCUUCCUCUGACCUUCUCUCCAGCACUCCCAGGCCCUGCUCCACAGCCUGCAUGAGAGGCUGGCUUAACGGGCUCAAAUUCUGGCUCCACCACAAGACAGCCGUGUGACCUCUGGCAAGACACCCUGCAAGAAAAGCUAUCUGGGGGUGC